rnacentral:rRNA from 1 species
GAUUAACGCUAGCGGCAGGCCUAAUACAUGCAAGUCGAACGGCAGCACGGGUAGCAAUACCUGGUGGCGAGUGGCGCACGGGUGCGUAACGCGUAUGCAACCUACCUAUAACCGGGGAAUAGCCUUCUGAAAGGAAGAUUAAUACCGCAUAAUAUCACUGGACGGCAUCGCCCGGUGAUCAAAACUCCGGUGGUUAUAGAUGGGCGCGCGUGACAUUAGCUAGUUGGUGAGGUAACGGCUCACCAAGGCUACGAUGUCUAGGGGGUCUGAGAGGAUGAUCCCCCACACUGGUACUGAGACACGGACCAGACUCCUACGGGAGGCAGCAGUAAGGAAUAUUGGACAAUGGGCGCAAGCCUGAUCCAGCCAUGCCGCGUGAAGGAUGACGGCCCUCUGGGUUGUAAACUUCUUUAUACGGGAAUAAACCCCUCGAUUCUUCGGGGGCUGAAUGUACUGUAAGAAUAAGGAUCGGCUAACUUCGUGCCAGCCGCCGCGGUAA